CUGCCGCCUCUAAUGGGUCCAUAUCUCUCAAGUUAUUGCAGUAUUGUAGCUCACAAGGUUCAAAAAAAGUAUGGUGGAAGCUGUUGCCAAGGUUCCGGCCAGAAAAGACAGCCAGUAUGAAAGGGUCCACGCCACUGAUCUCUACUACAGGGGAUGAACAGCACAUCGAGCGCCCUCGACUAAAGCCGGCCUUGUCCCGGAAGUUGGUGCUUCACAACUUUGCGGCACCACUUUGUUGCACGGCCUGUGGAGACAAGGUUUCUUAGACAUGGCCAUGGCCCUCAAGGAAGAUGCCGAGGCCACAGGCAGUUCCUCCAGUGACCGUGAAAAGGUCCCCUGGGGCACAAGUCUGAUUUGGCACCCCCACCUUUCUCCUGCAGCUUUUCUGUCUACUUAGCUAACCAGGUGGGUCAAUGAUGGCAAAGGGAAAAA